rnacentral:rRNA from 1 species
GACAGGUGGUGCAUGGUUGUCGUCAGCUCGUGUCGUGAGAUGUUGGGUUAAGUCCCGCAACGAGCGCAACCCUUGAUUUUAGUUGCCAGCACGUUAAGGUGGGCACUCUAGGAUGACUGCCGGUGACAAACCGGAGGAAGGUGGGGAUGACGUCAAAUCAUCAUGCCCCUUAUGACCUGGGCUACACACGUACUACAAUGGCCGAUACAACGGGAAGCGAAACCGCGAGGUGGAGCCAAUCCUAUCAAAGUCGGUCUCAGUUCGGAUUGCAGGCUGCAACUCGCCUGCAUGAAGUCGGAAUUGCUAGUAAUCGCGGAUCAGCAUGCCGCGGUGAAUACGUUCCCGGGUCUUGUACACACCGCCCGUCACACCACGAGAGUUUACAACACCCGAAGCCGG